GGGGCCUUAGCUCAGCUGGGAGAGCGCCUCGCUGGCAGCGAGGAGGUCAGGAGUUCGAUCCUCCUAGGCUCCACCA
rnacentral:tRNA from 11 species